UGGGCUUUAGGUUUGGGUUAGGGGUUGGGCCGAUUUAAUUUGAAGUGUUGGGCCGAGAGUUGGGCCUUUGUCUUAAAUUUUGACUUGGGCCGAUUUUAAUUGAGGGUGGGCUUGCGAAUUGGGCUCAGUUUAUUUAAUUAGUUAUGGGCCGAUUUUUAUGAGUACUUGGGCCGAGAUUUUUUAAUUAAAUGGGCUGGAUUAUUUCUUAAUUUUGGGCCGAUUUUCUUUUAUUAAGUUGGGCCUUUGAUUAUUUUAAAUCAUGGGCUGCCCAAGUAUUUAUUUAAUUGGAUUUGUGCAGAUUUUAUUUAAAGGAGCUACACUAUUAUAAUUAAUUAGACUUAUUAAGUUUAAUUAAUUAUUUUCAAAGAGUAAAUUUUUAUAAUAAUAUUACAUUAUUAUUAUAAGCAUAUUUUAAGUAAUUUCUUAUUAUAUGCCAAGCAUGACAUGAAUUUGCAUUAUAUUUUUGCAAUAAAAGUAUUUAAGAUUUAAUUGGUUUUAUUUAUAAUUCCAAUUAUUAAAAGAUGAGUAAGAAUAUUGUUGGUGUUCUUAACUCAAGAGAAAAUGUUUUCAAUUAUUUAUUCAUUAAAUUUUGAAAACCCGGCUAAGUGAAUCAUAGAAUAUUAAGCACUACACCAUGACUUAAGAUUAGAUUCAAGGAGACCUAUUAAGAAUAGAUUUCUUGUAGGCUUUGAGCAUCAGGAGGAUUAGCACUGCUAUUCCGAUUCAGAGAUAAGGUUAAACGACAGGCUUUGCCUAUACAGGUUGGCUGGCUGGUGCUGACGGGACGGAGCUGAGGCUAGCGAUAAAUUCCUAUGUUAGACUUCCGCUGUAGCAAUUACUCAUAUCAGUCUUUUGUUUUCCCAACUUAAGUUCUUCAUGUUAAAUUUCAAAUGAUAUACCUGACCGAGCUUAGACUCUUCACUACUAAAUUUAUGCCAAUGAAUGUCGGUUGUCAGAAGCAUGAAACAAAACUUGUGAUCCAAAGGGGCAUAGCCCGACUUUCUAUCCUAUUUCGGGUUUUUACAAG